GAGAAGAAAGAGUGCGGAAAUUUAGGUGGGUAUUUGCUUGGAUUCCAAGCUCAGGUGUUUCUCUGAUGACAAAGAAAGUAGGUUUAAUAAAUGAUUGAUUGUGUUCCAAAAAUGGGGGAAUAUCUCCCUAUUUAAAGGGUCAUUGGUAGGUGUGCCCCUAUCUAGGUCACUUGACCUAGAUUUUAGUGGGCUGCGCCAAAUUAUGGCGCUUCUUGGGAUUUGUGCUUAAAGGCCGCAAUUUAAGAAGUUAUCUGAAGGGGACACGUGUUAGAUGACUAUUGGUUUACUUGGGCCAACCUAAGCUUGACACGUGGCCUUCUCUUAUUGGUCCACAUUUCUAGGGUAUUUUUACCCUAAACAUUUUCCCCUCACAAGGGUCACGUGGCUGCCACGUGACGCCUGUGACACAUGUCUACCUGUGAGAGGUGAACAUUAAAAACGACUAGUAAAUCUAGGGCGUGACGGGGAUGCCCCCGUUUCACCCCUGUAUAAAUAGGAGAUUACCCCCCCUUCUCUCACUAUUUCAUUUUCUUUGACUUUCUAGAGAGAGAAAGAGAGAUUCUCUGAUUAUGUCUACGUCAGAUUCUCUAGAUUUCCGUGUGCUAACUGUAUAACACCCGGUCACCCGUCUGUAGCAGUUUUUAGAGUUUCUAGAGUUAAAUUAAGGUAACUGCCUGUACCAUUUUUUAGCUUUUCCUACUUUUCAAGUUGUAUACAUUCUUUUUUCGUCUAUAUACAUAGUCUUUAAAAAAAUAAAAUGAGCUCUCAAUCUACACACUCGGCACUACCUAGGACAUUUAGCCGGUCUCCCGGAACGGCUGAAACUAGAACAGGGGGUGCCUUUUCUAGACUGUCGGAAGUGCUGUGCUCAUCCUAGAAUUCCUCCUCUGUGUCUGUGCAGGACACAAUGGCUAGAGUAAAAAAGACGGCUAGGAAGUCUAAAAACGGCGCGCUAUGGAAGUGCCCGCCGAUGAGGUUUUCUAGAUGGGGAACAAGAGGAUUCGGAGGAGAGAAGUGGUUUUGACGAUGAGACUCCCUCUUCCUUCGGGAGCUCAACCAUAAGAGAGGUAGACGGUGAAGAGGCAACCUCCUUUAAUGAAUCCGAGGAAGAGACAGGCGGCAAUUAGGCCGCCGAAAGAUCGGAAGCCGAGGUAUCUGGCUCCGAUCAAGAUAAUUUUGCAGCUGACUAUCAGCAGCCGGCGAAAGCUUUAGUUAACCCAGACUUAAAGAAGAUUAGAAUGCUUCCCCCUGCUGAAUAGUGGCUUCAGGUCCUUCAAAGAAAAACACCCCUUGGAAAGGGGUGAGAUAUUAUAGUUCCGCCUGGCGAUGCGGUUAUGGCAUGGGAGGAUAACAUAGAAAAUGCAGACCACCACUUUGUCUGCUAUGAGGCGGUAAUAGAAGCCGACCUCCGGUUUCUCCUCCAUAUUGGGAUUAGGAAAAUCUUGAAGGUGUAUGAUCUGGGUGUCUGGCAGCUCACCCCAAACUCAUGGGUGAAUAUUUUGAGUUACAUUGCCGCCUGCGAGCUCCUGAAUAUUGCCCCAGCUUUUCCGCCUUUGCUCAUAUGCACUAUUUGAGUAAGGCCCCAGGCGGUCAUGAGGCGUGGUAUAAUCUUACCAUGUUGCCCCAGUAUUAGAUGACUUUGGACAAGGUAUCCAAAUGGUCCGGGUGGAAGGAGAAGUUUUAUUUGGUCUCCUCCCCCACUCUGAGACAUAACUGGACGCUGUACCGGUACAAUAAGGAAUCGGUUCUCCUGGGUAGAAAAUGUCAUCUCCAGAUAUUCUCUUCUAGGGCCCGAGAGCAAAAAAUGGAUCCGGGUUUCUACGAAACCACAACUGAGCCCUUGGGGAUGGGACUCAUAUUAUUGUGCCUAAGAACUGGAUCCCUCACCCGGACUUCCUCAAGGAUGAAAGGUUCCUGUCCGCCUACAGGUUAAGCACCAUGUUUCCCAAGGGUAGAUCAACUUUGCAUCCGGCUUUUUUGUUGUUUUUUUGUUUUUAUUCGUUAACUUUUUAUUAUUUUUUCACAAACUUUUUAUUUUCUCUUUACAGCUGACGCCUUGAAGAUGGUUGAUCCCGAAAAAACCCUGGCUAAGUCUGCUGCGCAACUGCGCAAAGAAAGCACGCUCUCCAAGAGAGCAGCCAUCGAGGCCAAGAAAGGCGGGGAUGCCACUAAACGCGUUCCACGCUCCAUCUUCAAGCUUUUCAAAAGCCAAGGGGAGGAGUUGGAAAAAACUCCGGCUGCUAAGGCCGGAAGGAAGAACCCCUCCCAGUUAACUUCUACUGCCAAUCCAGAUCGUCCUACGAACGGUGGCAAAUCACCUUCUGCCAUGAAAUUCUGAGUGAAAGCUUAGAACGUUCAGGGAAGAAAGCACCGGAUGCCUCUACGACAUUGAAGGGUGGCCAGCCACCCAAUGUUGCAGCCGGUGCGGCAACGACUUGGGAGGAGUAUGCCUUUAAGCCCCAUCCUCAAACCCAAGAUCUUACAUCCGACGAGCCGGAUCUUCCUAGGUUUGCUAAACGGAUGUUGAGGACCCUCACCCGGUCUCAAAAGUACUCCAUACCUGUUCUGCAGGUAGUGGACUUUAACCGGAUAAUGGGCCAACUGGCUGAGGUUAUGCUGAUGGUGGAUGGGCUCCGGGGCCCCUUUAGGCGGAAACAAGGUAAAUGACGCCAAACGGAGGGCCACUGAAAACCUCAACUCUGCUGAAUAUGCUAAUUAUAUGUGUGAAUUAAAGAUUAAAGAAUUAAAGUUGAAAAUGGAGGAGCUGAUCCGGAGUCUGAUGGCUACUAACGAUGAAGCCAACAGUCGGGCUAAUGACCUUGAGCAAAAACUGGCAGAUGCGAAAGCUGAACUCAAGGAAUUAGAGGACGCUAACACGAAGAACACAAAGCUCCGGGUAGACGUCGCCCGGUUGGGGGUGGAGAUCGUCAACCUGUGGAACCAGCAGGAAGAUGAGAUUGCCAAGGAGCAGAUCCGGCUGAGCGAGGAGAAUAAGCGGGACAAUGCAGCCCGCCUGAAGAUAGCAUGGGGGCUCCUCUAUCCGAAUGUGGACUUUUAAUUCUACAAGCUUAAGUAUGGUUGCACCACUGCGGUGUAUGGUGCCCAAGUGGUGGGAGAGGCAGCUCCGCCUCGUUUCAAAGACUAAGUUGCAGAACUGGGAUAUGAAGUCUUAGAUAAUGAAGAGGAGUCGGCGGAGGAUGAGAAAAACCAAGACAGCCAGCCUCAGGCGGCUGAUAAUCAAUCUGAAGCCCUCCCUUCCGGUCAAAACCAGUCGGGUCAGCAGCCUCCACCUCAGCCUUAAACCAGCCUCCCCAAAUUCUGCGGCAGUAUGCCAUUUUUUUUUCUUUCCGGCUUGUUAGCCGAGUAUGCUGUACUUUUACCAACUAAGGAGUUGGGUAUACAAUUUUUUCUUUUGUUUCUUCACCAGAUGGGAUUCCGAUUAACAAUUAUUUUGGCCUUUGUGCCAUUUUUAAUUUAAUGAAUGAAUUAUUCCGACUCAGUCGGAUUUUUAUACAUGUUUGAAUUUUUUAAAUUAAAUUUUGCGUAUAGACUGUAAUUAUUUGAUAUUUUGCCUAACUUAUAAAAAGCAUGCGUCAGAUUGUAAUCCGGCUGUUCUUGCCCUUGGACGGCUGUGUGAUUGGUUUCAUUUCUAAUUGAUUGAUUGGCUUGAAAACAUUUGAUACUUGGAGAAGUAUGAGAUGUUUUUAGGCCAAUCAAUCACAAUAGUGAUUGCCCCAAACCAAGUGCACAGCCGGUCAUUAAAACAGGUGCUUGAAGCCUCUUACCCAAGUGGUAAUAUUCCGUCUGGGGUUGUUACAUAGCCAUUACACAAAACUCUUUUGGUCCAAUAGGGAGAAUCUGUGCAAUUUUGGAAUAAAUAAUUUAAGUAAGAACUUUGGUCGAGAACCAACUAAAGCCUUAAAACAUCCGGUACUUCAAAAACUUAAUUGUUCUAUAUAGUAUUCUGGUCAGACGGCUAUGAGUUGACCAAUUUGGUCAUUCAAUCGUUGUUGUCUGCAUAGAUAUGUAGAGAUGACAAAGACUCUGCUCUCUGCGACGAUUGCACCCGAAGGGGUGUCGCCGGACACUGUUGUCCAUAUUGGGACAGGCGGUUUUGUAAUAUAAGCAUCCAUCCGGCCAUUGGACUUUGGUCUUGUUCGAGACCGAUUGUAUAGCUACUAAGCGUUUUUGUGCCUAGUUUAUUAAUCUAGCCAUUAGCCGCAUGUUAUUUGGACGUUGAGUUUGCCACUAAGUUUCGAACUUAGUUGUCUUAGCAAAUAAUCCGUCUGAGCGUUGCACAGGCGGAAUAGUAGUCAUAAAGAUAUCAACACAAUUGAAAACAAAGCCUGAUUUCUCAUUAAUAGACUUUUUGUUUACAAAAAAUUUACAAUUCUCAGAAGUAGUGCUUUUUUAAGUUACCUACAUACCAAGUUCUAGGCAGGCGUUUGCCGUCUAGGGUUUCCAGGCGGUAGGUGCCAUCCCUUACUUCUUCAUAGAUCCGGUAGGGGCCUUCCCAAUUGAGGGUUAGCUUUCCAAGCUCAUUUGCCCUACCAGUUGCCUCCAUUUUUCGUAGCACAAAGUCACCAACUUUCAAAAGGCGCUUGUGUACUUUCUUGUUGUAGGCUCUCGUCAUUCUCAUACAGUAUAUAUUGAGAUGACGCAGGGCAACAUUGCCUUUGCGUUCCGGGAGGGAGUCCAAUGCCAGC